CUAAUUUCUGAGCAAAAAAAAAAAAAAAAACAAAAGAAAUAAAAAUCUGUUCUUAUCAGUUUAAUAUCUGAUACGUCCCCUAUCAGGGGACCAUAUAUUAAAUUGAUUUUUGGAAUCUGGAGAUGGAACAGGGGCUUGCUCCGUCCACUCCACGCAUCGGCCCGGUAUUGCAGUGCCUCCGGGAACGGUGCACACCUU